AUUGAACGCUGGCGGCAUGCCUUACACAUGCAAGUCGAACGGCAGCGGGCCCUUCGGGGUGCCGGCGAGUGGCGAACGGGUGAGUAAUGCAUCGGAACGUACCCGGGAGAGGGGGAUAACCGGCCGAAAGGCUGGCUAAUACCGCAUGAACUCGGAAGAGCAAAGCGGGGGACCUUCGGGCCUCGCGCUCUCGGAGCGGCCGAUGUCCGAUUAGGCUAGUUGGUGGGGUAAAGGCCCACCAAGGCGACGAUCGGUAGCGGGUCUGAGAGGACGAUCCGCCACACUGGGACUGAGACACGGCCCAGACUCCUACGGGAGGCAGCAGUGGGGAAUCUUGGACAAGGGGCGCAAGCCUGAUCCAGCAAUGCCGCGUGGGUGAAGAAGGCCUUCGGGUUGUAAAGCCCUUUCGGCGGGGAAGAAAUCGGUCAGGCGAAUAGUCUGGCCGGAUGACGGUACCCGCAGAAGAAGCACCGGCUAACUACG
rnacentral:rRNA from 1 species